GUCUACGGCCAUGCAAUCCUGAACAAGCCCGAUCCCGUCUGAUCUCGGAAGCUAAGCAGGGUCGGGCCUGGUUAGUAUUUGAAUGGGAGACCACCUAGGAAUAACAGGUGCUGUAGGUG
rfam:Pteropus alecto contig49134, whole genome shotgun sequence.